UACAGGGGGUGCAAACGUUGCUCGGAAUUAUUGGGCGUAAAGCGCGCGUAGGCGGCUACUUAAGUCAGAUGUGAAAGCCCUUGGCUCAACUGAGGAAGUGCACCCGAAACUGAGUGGCUAGAGUACGAAAGAGGGUCGCGGAAUUCCCGGUGUAGAGGUGAAAUUCGUAGAUAUCGGGAGGAACACCGGUGGCGAAGGCGGCGACCUGGGUCGAUACUGACGCUGAUGCGCGAAAGCGUGGGGAGCAAACAGG
rnacentral:rRNA from 1 species